AGUGGCAGACGGGUGAGUAACAUGUGGGUAUCUUCCCUUUGGUGAGGAAUAACACGAGGAAACUUGUGCUAAUACCUCAUAAGUCUUUACGGAGAAAGCUUUAUGCGCCAUUGGAUGAGCCUGCACUUGAUUAGUUUGUUGGUGGGGUAAUGGCCUACCAAGACUUUGAUCAAUAGCUGAUUUGAGAGGAUGAUCAGCCACAUUGGGACUGAGACACGGCCCAAACUCCUACGGGAGGCAGCAGUAGGGAAUCUUGCACAAUGGAGGAAACUCUGAUGCAGCGAUGCCGCGUGAGUGAAGAAGGCCUUUGGGUUGUAAAGCUCUUUCGUCGGGGAAGAAAAUGACUGUACCCGAAUAAGAAGGUCCGGCUAACUUCGUGCCAGCAGCCGCGGUAAUACGAAGGGACCUAGCGUAGUUCGGAAUUACUGGGCUUAAAGAGUUCGUAGGUGGUUAAAAAAGUUGGUGGUGAAAUCCCAGAGCUUAACUCUGGAACUGCCAUCAAAACUUUUUAGCUAGAGUAUGAUAGAGGAAAGCAGAAUUUCUAGUGUAGAGGUGAAAUUCGUAGAUAUUAGAAAGAAUACCGAUUGCGAAGGCAGCUUUCUGGAUCAUUACUGACACUGAGGAACGAAAGCAUGGGUAGCGAAGAGGAUUAGAUACCCUCGUAGUCCAUGCCGUAAACGAUGUGUGUUAGACGUUGGAAAUUUAUUUUCAGUGUCGCAGCGAAAGCAGUAAACACACCGCCUGGGA
rnacentral:rRNA from 1 species